UUUUUAUUCAAAUGUUUGCAUUUAAAGGACAGAAUACUGAGGAAAAACAAAAUUAGAUAUAAAGUACGAGUGAAGAAGGAUAAAGUAUAUGAUAAAAUCAAUGUUAAUAUGCGAUAAAGUAAGGAUAACGUAUGCGAGCAUUUGAGGGAUUAAAGUAAGGAGGAGAAAGGAUAAAGCAAAAGUAAAGAAGGAUAAAGUAAAUAUGUGACAAAAUAUGCGAUAAAGUAAGAAUAAAGUAUAUUUGAGGGAAGAAGAGUAAAGUAAGACUAAUGUUAAAGUCAAGAAGGAUAAAGUGUGUGAAUAUUGGAAGGAUAAAGUAAGGAGGGGAAGGAAGAAUUGUAAAAUUAUGAUAAGAUAAAAUAAAUAAAAAUAAAGUAAUAGGAGAAAUGCAGAAAGGUAAACAUUUGUUUGAUAUGCCGGAGGAUUGUGCACCUGCAUACACAUACACACAUACAACAUACAGACAUACAACAUACACACAUACAAAAUACACACAUACAUACAUACAUAGAGAAAAAAAAUAAAUGGAAAUAAAUCAAGGAAGAGAGAAUGUAGAAGUGUAAAAAAUAUGUUGAAGAAAGAUAGAAAAUAAUAGAUAGGAGGAUAUACAAAAUGUAACAAUGUGGUGAGGGUUGUAGUGAAAACAAUAUGCUCCCGCAACCACCAGUUUAUUAAAAUAAACUGACUGAUUUGAAAGAGGAGCACGGUGACCUCAGCUGGACUGUGGUGUGGUGUGCAUGGUUUCUUGUGAUGGUGAUAGUACGCGGUGCGUGUUAUACCCGCACUGACGGGACGGGCAGCGAGGACAACAGGUGCAGCAGAUAGCCAGUUGGAGCGGUAUAGAGUGCUGCAGGACUUGCUGACUGUGACAGGGCAGUAGUGCCCCAUAGCGAGACCCAGUGGUGCUGGGAUUAGCUAGCAAUCCUGCCCUCCUGUGUGUGUAUAAGAAGUGUCUAGCAUGAAAUUCUCAUGAGAGCAGUUUGGUGCAAGAUCAUGAUGAGGCAGCAGUUGUCACCUGAUUAAGGGCCUGCUUGCUUGGGAAGGUCACCACGGGGCUCAUGCCGUGAAUCUCCUUGCGUGGCAGUUUUUCCAUCAC